ensembl:ncRNA C16B8.8 ncRNA
ACCACUAGACCAUCCGGCCACGUUUCGAGCUGAUAUGUAUUGUAGUUUUCCUGAAAUAACCAUAUGCAUAAUACAUCAAAAGCAUAUAACCAUUCGCUACAAGGAAAAAAGUAAGUGGGCCGGACCGGGGAUCGAUCCCGGGACCUCUCGCACCCUAAGCGAGAAUCAUACCACUAGACCAUCCGGCCACG